GUGUCAGCAGCCGCGGUAAUACGAAGGGGGCUAGCGUUGUUCGGAAUUACUGGGCGUAAAGCGCGUGUAGGCGGGUCCUUAAGUCAGGGGUGAAAUGCCGAGGCUCAACCUCGGAACUGCCUUUGAUACUGGGGAUCUUGAGUCCGGGAGAGGUGAGUGGAACUGCGAGUGUAGAGGUGAAAUUCGUAGAUAUUCGCAAGAACACCAGUGGCGAAGGCGGCUCACUGGCCCGGAACUGACGCUGAGACGCGAAAGCGUGGGGAGCAAACAGGAUUAGAUACCCUGGUAGUCCACGCUGUAAACGAUGGAUGCUAGCCGUUGGGGAGCUUGCUCUUCAGUGGCGCAGCUAACGCUUUAAGCAUCCCGCCUGGGGAGUACGGUCGCAAGAUUAAA
rnacentral:rRNA from 1 species